UUGUUGUGGUCUGCAGCCAUUUGUUGUAGCACUGUCAGUGGACUUAUGUGACUCAUCAUCAUCACGUGUGAUGAGUUUUAUAUAGAUAUAUGCAAUUAUGCCACUUUAAUCAAUAGGGAUGGGGCUCUGAAGAGACUAAGAGAGAAAAGGAGUGUGAAGGGUUGGUAGUCCUAAAGCUCUGUUCUCUCUUAUCUUCAACCCUGUAAUUCCUGCUCACCUCCUAUUGCUGCUGCAGCUGCUCUUCUUGCUCUCUCUUGUCACUUUUUGGAGGUGAUGUAGAUGUUCUUAUAACUGCCAAACGAAAUUGCAACAAGUGUUAAGGUGCAUGACACCUCCAUCGUUGAUCCCCAGUCCUGUUCUAUGGCCCUUUCUCCUUUCUCAACAAGUGUUUCUGGGAUGUCCUUGCCUGCCUCUUAGAAAACAAAAUUAAGUACAAGAAUUGGAAAACAAAUGGCCUGGUCACUAUAGCAGCUUCUUUGGUUCUUGCUCUUCAUUAAUGAAAUGAAAAGGGCAGAUGUGAGCCUGCCUUCUCUUCUCUGAAGAACAAGAAUGAAAUCAAUGGUGCAUUCUGAGUGAUGAAAAAAUUGAGAAAACAAAGAAAAAAGGCUAUUUGCAUCUAUCUUCUUGAAAUCUGCCAUCUUUCCAUUUGAAUUGCAAAAAUCUUAUCUGUUAUCUUGAUGUCUCCUAUUCAAAUUAUAUACUCUCUCCAUUCCAAAAUACAUGUCGUUUAAGGAUUCAAAUGAUCUGAGUUUAAGUGAGCUAGUUACUUUCAAUGUUGCAUUCAAGCAAAGUUUGUCCUCCUCUUUUUUAAUUUGAGGUAGUGAUGAUUCAUCUGUAAGUUUUGCGAGGAUUGAAAUGGCGGGGCAGCUUGGUGUGCUGCAAAUAUACAGGUCACCGCUGCAGCCAUCUUUGAUUCUUGUUUAUGAAUCAUGUUUGAUAAAAAAAGAAGGAUUGGAUCUUAACCUCUCUAGUUUUACAUGGAAAUUGAAUAUAUGUCCAGGGGCUUAUUGUUUCCUCUCGAGUGCGGGAUGAGGAUGACUGAGAGAGAGAGAGAGAGAGAGAGAGAGAGAGAGAGAGAGAGAGAGAGAGAGAGAGAGAGAGAUCUUUAUCCUUGAAUCAUCUUCUUUGUUCCUUUCUUAUCUCUUUGUUGCAAUGGCGAAGCAGUUUGGAAUCUGGAUGGCCUGCUUCUCUGCAGGAAACCACUGCUCCUGUUCUUAUGGAGAUAAUUGGGGCCAAAGAAGAGGGAUCUUGGUGGUAUGAUGGAUUAAUGUGUGCUCACGUGCACCUCGUUUGCAGCCCUAUCUUCUCUGCUGGUGGUGGUGGUGGUGGUGAGGCCUAGUUCCCUUGCGACUGCAUUGUUGUUGGCCAUGUCUCUGUGAGGCUGUGAUGAUUUGCCCAAUUAUACUUACAAGAGUCUCAAGAUCAAGUGGCUUGGCAGCUACUGCUGCAGCCCUUGAUUUAGUGUUUAUCUCUGAUAGAAAGGGUUACACAUCUGAGCCUCUUGUUUCUUGUUUUUUUGAACACAAUGAAACAAAAGUACAGAGACCAUAUUGUCGAUGACAACAACAACAAUGACAAUAAUAAUAAUAAUCCAAAUGAGGUCAGAAUUAGAUUUGAGGUCAGAUGAGGGUUUGCUUAUUUUGCAAACCCUAUAAAGUUUAUCUAGUUCAUGACUACCAUUUUCAGAGGUAGUGAUGAUUUGUCCUGAAGUUUCAUGUUUAAAAUGGCGUGGCAGCCCCGGUGACCUGCAAAUCUACAGGCCACCACUGCAGCCAUCAUUGAUUCUGGUUGUUGAAUUGUGUUUGAUAAUAAGGACUGAAUCUGAACCUCUCUUGUUCCUCUCAGAAGGAACUAGUGGCAAGCAAAGCUAAGGAAGGUGUCGGUUGAUGACAACUGAAAUUAUGAGGGAACUGAAUAGCACUCUCUUUCCUAAUUAGAGGUUGAGGGUUUGAGGAGGUUUGUCCAUGUCCCUACAAACUCAAAAAUGAGAAGAAGAUGAAGAAAAGGAAGGGGAACUGUUUUCUUUAGCCUGGUUGAAUGCCAGGAAGACAAGAUGUAUCUUCAAAUGAAUGAAUAAUAUUACAUCAAUAAUAACAACCAUUAGUCAUAACUAUUUGGGGAAUACUUUUUCACUAGACAACAACAAUAAUAUCUUAACACACUGAGCUCUUACCUUGCUUCACUUAGGUGUUUGACAUCCUACACAAGGGACUGGUGUCAAUUGGGCAAGGCAUUUUGCUCACCUUUGGCUUUUAUUAUGAAUUUUAGAGACAUGCAAAUUGAAAUUUUAUUGGGUGUGUAUAUAUACAUGCAAGUAAUACAUUUUAGUGGCUUACCAAUGAUUAAGUGGUAUAUUGGUAGUUUGGAUCUGUUAGAACCUUUUACAAGUGGUGAGAGUUUGAAUCACAAGUGGAAGCAUAUUUCUGGGAGUGCGAGGAGUGGUUGUGUGCUGGUGGUUCUAGUGUCUACGUGUGCGUGGACCAUGUUAUCACUUGCUCCGGCGAGGCUCGUCCACUUUUUGCCUUAGCGGUCUAAUCCUUCAUCUUUGCCAAAAAAAAAAAAACCAUUUAAGUGGCUUGCAUAAUCACAUAUGUCAAGGCAUCAUGCAUUUUUGUAAUUUUACCUCAAGUGAAAAUAGCAAUUCAAGGCUGGUACAUGCAUUCCAUUGUUCCAAACAUGACUUUGGUGUUCCUUCAUCUUCAUCUUCUUUCUUGUCUCCAUUUAUGUGUCUCAAGAGGCUGUGAUGAUAUCCCCUAAAACCAACUUGUGCUUGGAUUGAAGGGAAAGAGAAAGUCCAUGGCUCUUUUACUUUCCACCCCC